rnacentral:rRNA from 1 species
UACGUAGGGUCCGAGCGUUGUCCGGAGUGACUGGGCGUAAAGCGCGCGCAGGCGGCCUGUUAGGCGCGACGUGAAAGCCCCGGGCUCAACCCGGGAGGGUCGUCGCGAACCGGCGGGCUUGAGGCCGGUAGAGGUGGGUGGAACUCCUGGUGGAGUGGUGAAAUGCGUAGAUAUCUGGAGGAACACCGGUGGCGAAGGCGGCAUCCUGGACCAACACUGACACUGAGGAGCGAAAGCCAGGGGAGCAAACGGG